UAACUAGUCGAAAGAUUAGCUAAUACCGCAUACGACCUGAGGUGAAUGGGGACCGCAAGGCCUCAUGCUAUAGGAGCGGCCGAUGUCUGAUUAGCUAGUUGGUGGGGUAAAGGCCUACCAAGGCGACGAUCAGUAGCUGGUCUGAGAGGACGAUCAGCCACACUGGGACUGAGACACGGCCCAGACUCCUACGGGAGGCAGCAGCC
rnacentral:rRNA from 1 species